AGCUAACUGAAAUCUUAAGAUCACUUAAUCGUGGUACUUGAGAUAACGUAAGGGAAAAUUAUGAUAUUACCUUACUAUAAGUGUUGUCCAAUUUACUGGUGCCAGAAGACUCGGUAACGCCAGAAACGCAAACGUUAGUCGUCCUUAUCAGGCGUAAAGGGUAAGUAGGCUGCUUUGAAAGUUAUUAAUUUGAAAGCUCUAGCAUAAGAAGCUAGUAAUUAAUAAUGAAUUAAAGCUAGAAUCAAAAAGAGGAUAAGCCAAAUAAUAUUUAGAGUAGGGAUGAAAUCUGUAGAUACUAAAUAGAAUACUAAUGGUGAAAACUUUUAUCUAAUAAUGAUUGACGCUGAGGAACGAAGGUGAGAAUAGAAAAUAGGAUUAGAGACCCAGGUAUCUCUCACUGUCAACGAUGAAUGGUGGUUGUUAGUUUUAAAAUAAACUAGUAACGAUGUUAACGCGAUAACCAUUCCGCCUUGCGAGUACGGUUGCAAAACUGAAACCAAAAAAAUUAGUCGGUCUCGGAGCAAACGAAGUGAAGCAUGUUAUUUAAUACGAAACUACGCGUAAAAUCUUACCAGUUCUUGUAUGUACUCUUUUUGCCUGCUUUUAUUUUGCAGAGCAAAGUCAUAGGAGUAUACAGGUGUUGCAUGGCUGUCGUCAGUCCGUAUUUUAAGAAGUGAGGUUAACUCCACUAACGGACGCAAUCCCUGUUGUUAAUUUAUACUUAACAAUUUAUGAUUUUUAAAUAUUUUCAUUUGGGGCUAAGACAAGUCGUUAUGGCUCUAACGAACUGGGCUAUAGACGUGCCACACAAAACUUUUACAAAGUGACGCGAAACCUUAAAUGAGAAAAAAGGAAGAGCUAAUCAUCAAAGAAAGUUAAUCAUAUUUUAUUUGAGCAGAUUGUUGCCUGAAAUUCGGCAACAUGAAGGAGGAAUUUCGAGUAAUCGUUGAUCACUAGCGCAACGGUGAAGAUAGCAUUCGGGAUGAACUAACUGUCUGUCGCUGGGGAGAAGCUCGGAUCGGGGGAAACUGCCGCUUAAUUAUAACUUACAACAAAUCCUAGCUCUGUAAAUUUUAGCUGCAACCUUGUAGCUUAUACUCUUUCUG
rnacentral:rRNA from 1 species